rnacentral:rRNA from 1 species
CCUACGGGUGGCUGCAGUGAGGAAUAUUGGUCAAUGGCCGGAAGGCUGAACCAGCCAUGCCGCGUGAAGGUCAGUGCCCUAUGGGCGUUAAACUUCUUUUGUGCGGGAGCAAUAAUGGUCACGUGUGGCCAGACGAGAGUACCGUACGAAUAAGCAUCCGCUAACUCCGUGCCAGCAGCCGCGGUAAUACGGGGGAUGCAAGCGUUAUCCGGAUUUAUUGGGUUUAAAGGGUGCGUAAGCUGUGAAGUAAGUCAGCGGUGAAAUGCCCCCGGUCAACGGGGUGAAGUGCCAUUGAUACUGGCUGGCUGGAGUGCGGAUGCGGUGGGAGGAAUGUGUGGUGUAGCGGUGAAAUGCAUAGAUAUCACGCAGAACACCGAUUGCGAAGGCGGCCUACUGGACUGCAACUGACGUUGAGGCCCGAAAGCGUGGGGAGCAAACAGGAUUAGAUACCCUUGUAGUC